rnacentral:rRNA from 1 species
UUUGACAUGUACGGAAUUCCGCAGAGAUGUGGAAGUGCUCGAAAGAGAACCGUAACACAGGUGCUGCAUGGCUGUCGUCAGCUCGUGUCGUGAGAUGUUGGGUUAAGUCCCGCGACGAGCGCAACCCUUGUCAUUAGUUGCUACGAAAGGGCACUCUAAUGAGACUGCCGGUGACAAACCGGAGGAAGGUGGGGAUGACGUCAAGUCCUCAUGGCCCUUAUAGGUGG